GAGGUUAGAUAAAAGAGAUCGAAAGCAAAUCGAGAUGAGCGUUCUACUUACUGGCAGUCGGAUUAAGCAGAUAAUAUUUGAAGAGGCAGGUCGGUCAUGGACCAAUAUUAUUGAAGAGGUAGGUCAGAUGUAUGACGAGCUCGGCAUCCCAAUGAGAUUGGCUUUUUGAUGACCUCGGACUUCUGAUGAAGUUGGCCCCUUAAUG
rnacentral:lncRNA from 1 species